rnacentral:rRNA from 1 species
UACAGAGGGUGCGAGCGUUAAUCGGAAUUACUGGGCGUAAAGCGUGCGUAGACGGCUAUCUAAGUCGGGUGUGAAAGCCCCGGGCUCAACCUGGGAAUUGCAUUCGAGACUGAAUAGCUAGGGUACGGUAGAGGGAAGUGGAAUUUCCGGUGUAGCGGUGAAAUGCGUAGAUAUCGGAAGGAACAUCAGUGGCGAAAGCGACUUCCUGGACCAGUACCGACGUUCAGGCACGAAAGCGUGAGGAGCAAACAGG